rfam:Homo sapiens unplaced genomic contig, GRCh38 reference primary assembly.
CCGUCCGGCGUCCUAGGCGGGGCGCCACGGGACCUCCCUAGUGUCUGUGGCAGUGGGAUCCCAUGGCCGUGUUUUCCUGGUGGCCCGGAC